GGGUAGUACUUUAAACCUAAAGAAUUUGGCGGUUUUUAAACUUACUAGAGGAACCUGUCCUGUAAUCGAUAGUCCACGAAAUUAUCCACCUACCUUUGUUACCAGCUUAUAUACCGCCGUUUAGUGAAUUAAACAAAUAAGUUCCCUUAAUUAAUUAGUUAAGUAAAUCAGGUCAAGGUGUAGUUUAUAGGUAGGAAGAGAUGGGUUACAAUAAUAGUUUACAACGGAUUACUUAUCUUAGGGUAGGUAUGAAGGUGGAUUUAGAAGUAAAUUUUAAUGGUUUGAAGCAAGCUCUUAAAAAUGUACACAU
rnacentral:rRNA from 1 species